rnacentral:snRNA from 1 species
GGAUGCGAGGGCGAUCUGGCUGCAAUAUCUGCCACCCCAACAAUCACCAGGGUUGAUUUGGCUGAUCUGGCUGGCUAGGCGGGUAUACACCUCCUUCCUUAUCAAUCCAUGUGCCCAGUACCAAUGUCUACCAGGGGUCCU